AAAAAAGGCGUCGUAGAAGCGUGAGUAUACGGUUACGAGGCGACCGGAAACAUCGACCACUCAUCAAGAGGGAAGUUCUCUCAGCCAUGUUUGUCAGCCAUUGAGACUCCUAUCCGAGGAUAAACGUUAGAAAUAAACGACCAACGAGGGAAAAUUAUAGUGGAAAAAUAAGGAAAGAAACAAAACAUUCCUACCACACACGAAGACGCGGAACGAUCUUGGUCGAUACACACAAAGAUAUGUGCUCUGUAUUACCGACGAGCCUCGCAGCGACGAUAGC
rnacentral:lncRNA from 1 species